AUUGCAGGGCAUGUUAAGUCAACAUGUGUGCCUUAGAAUCACUUUACAUCUGAAUGAUCAAAGAAUGAUUGUAGCUUUUACCAUAAAAGCAUUUCAAAUGCUCCACUAUACUUCAGAAAUAUUUUCUGAAGUCAUAGGGAAGUAAGCAUUUGGGGAAUUUUGACAAUGUUCAAAAAGCUACUUCAUAUAGGUACACAAAAGCAAAUACAAGUAUACAAAGAAACUUAGGAAAGACGGACAUAUGAGUACGAAUGUAGAGACAAGUAGAUAAUACUAUGUAAACAAGGUUAUUACUGGAGAUAUGAGAACAAACCCUGCCAUAAUACUUAGGAGCCCCUGAGAUUCAGAAGGUAAAAAUGCUUGAACCGCCAUGCACAUUCCCGAGGUUACUUACUUUAUAAGCAAAUGCAAAUGGAUAUUUUAAACCAAAAUUGAAAGGCAAAAAGGCAGUAACUAUUGAGCGUACUUACUUUAUUAGCAAAUACAAAUGGAUAUUUUAAAUCAAAAUUGAAAGGCGAAAAGGCAGUAACUAUCCAGAUGGAAAGAUAGAGAAACCCAAGCAGAUACCAAAGUAUGUAAUACAAGCUAGAGGAAGAGAAUCAUAAAGCACCUAAAUAAGCAAAAUACAGUGACUCUUAAUUUGGGUAGUAUAACAUUG
rnacentral:lncRNA from 1 species